UUUUCCGACUGCUAACAUCUAUUUUUGAUCACCGACUGUCCCUAGCGCGAGUAGCAAAGGGCAUGGUGGUUGGUACCUGAGGUCCCGCGUUCAAAUCCUAGUUGAUUCACAUUUUCAGCUAAGUUUAUUUUUAAAUGAAAUAAACGAAACGAAUAGUAUGCUACCUAUCUCUCAAAAAAAAAAAAAUUUGUUUUUGAUCUCAUUAAAGUUUUAUAUUAAGAAUCACCUAAUGCUAUCGGAUAAAAAAGAAGCUGAGAUAAAAAUUAGUAUAAUAUUACCGACUGUCCCUAGAGCAAGUGGCAAAGAGUUUGGUAGUUAAUAUCCGAAAUCCAAGUUCGAAUCCUAGUUGAUUCACAUUUCUAGCUAAAUUUAUUUCUAAAUGAAAUAAACGAAACGGGUAGGAUGCUACCUAUC
rnacentral:lncRNA from 1 species